UUAUGUGAUUAAUUAAAUUAAAUGUGAGAGACAUUUAAUUUAAUUAAUUAAUGUUAAGUUUGGUGAUUAAAACUUAAUAAGAGUGAAAAAGGUGUCAAAAGCCAAUUUGGACUUUUCUUCUUAUGAAACAUUAAUAACCUUUAUAAAAAAUAAAAAAAAAUGAAAUGAUCAUAUAUGUAGCAAAGAGUGGCCGGCCAUGUGGUGUUUUAGAGUGGUGUGAACCCAAAUUUUAUAAAAUUUAAAUGCCAUUUAAUUAAGAGGCCAAGUGGGCAAGUGGGUAGAAAAGCACUCAAGUACUUUGUGAUAUUUUGAAGAGUAUUGUGAGCAAUUCCCACACUAAGAACCGAUCACUCUCCAUCUCUCAUUCACUAUCAUCUUUUUUUAAGACCUCUCAAAGUGUUCUCUCCAUUUUUCAAGCCCAAGAACACCAAGGAAACUUUGAGGCUAAGUCUUGGUCUAGGAAGUAUUUUCCCUAAGGGCUUUUGAAAGGUUUUGAAGGAGUCAAAGCUUAUAGGAAGGUCCAAACCUUAAGCAAGAACACCAAAGAGGUAAGAGCAAGGGCAAGGCAGAGCAGUGAGCGCUGGAGUCUUCCUUGCAAAUGUACAUGUGGACCGACCUUUUGGGAAGCCUUUUUAUUUUUGGAAAUGUUGUGUAAUUUUCCUAAACUAGGCUCACUCUAAUCUUUAUAAAACAUGUUUGUAACUAAAUGUUAAGUAUGGCCAUACGACUUUUUAAUAAGUUUUUUUUUUCUAUGGGUUUUUGAGACAUUUUGUUAAAUGAAAACAUUUAUAUUUCCGCAUUAUCGAGUCUUGAAAAUCCAGGGCGUUACAAUUUGAAUUUGUAAUCAGUUGAACAAUCUCACACAACACGUGUAGGGCCUAGAUUAAUUUGUAAGGGCCCAUAG